rnacentral:rRNA from 1 species
AGCGAACGCUGGCGGCAGGCCUAACACAUGCAAGUCGAACGAACCUUUCGGGGUUAGUGGCGGACGGGUGAGUAACAAGUGGGAACGUGCCCUUAGGUUCGGAAUAACUCAGGGUAACUUGUGCUAAUACCGAAUGUGCCCUUAGGGGGAAAGAUUUGUCGCUUCUAGAGCGGCCUGCGUCUGUUUAGCUAGUUGGUUGGGGUAAUGGCUCACCACGGCGACGUUCAGUAGCUGGUCUGUGAGGAUGAUUAGCCACAUUGGGACUGAGACACGGCCCAAACUGCUACGCAGGGCAGGAGUAGGGUAUCUUACGGGAUGAGCGAAGGCCUGACGCAGCCGUGCCGGGUAUAUGGGGAAGGGCGUAGGAAUGUAAAUUUCUUUCUCCGGAGGCGAGAGUGACGGUAACCGGAGAAGAAGCCCCGGCUAACUACGUG